AUACCUACCGUCUGGAAACUAGGCUUUCUGCGACGCUGCGGAGCCUGGCGAUUUAGGGACUCACGGCGUGUGUUCACUUGUGGAAGGGCAGAGCGAAGCCUACCUAUUGGAGUUCCAUUUAUUGGCAUCACCCUCCUCAGAGAAGAGAAACGGGGUUUCACCAUGUUAGCCAGGAUGGUCUCGAUCUCCUGACCUCGUGAUCAGCCUGCCUCGGCCUCCCAAAGUGCUGGGAUUACAGGUGUGAGCCACCACGCCCGGAAUGAAGUAUUUCAAGUUUCAAGUGCCCCAUUUGCUCCAAGUCUGUGGCUUCUGAUGAGAUGGAAAUGCACUUUAUAAUGUGUUUGAGCAAACCUCGCCUCUCCUACAACGAUGAUGUGCUGACUAAAGACGCGGGUGAGUGUGUGAUCUGCCUGGAGGAGCUGCUGCAGGGGGACACGAUAGCCAGGCUGCCCUGCCUGUGCAUCUAUCACAAAAGCUGCAUAGACUCGUGGUUUGAAGUGAACAGAUCUUGUCCGGAACACCCUGCGGACUGACCUGCGGGCUUGCUUGCUGACUCCUCUCAAAGGGACAGAGAGCCCCUGCUCCAGGGAGGAGGCUCACCGGACCC
rnacentral:sRNA from 1 species